CCUGUUGCUAAUUUCAUUCCACCACCUACUCACGUGCUUUCUACUGCUAAUCAUAUGCUCCCUAUUCAUGGGACCCACCAAGUACUGGGUAAAAGGUAAGUGGCUAAGAUCAGCCAGGCUAAAGAAAUCUCCAGCUAAGUACUUGCUCUUUGAGAGCCUCUCCUCAUAAACAUCCAAAACCUUUGCUAUCUUUUCUUCACUCUCUUUUAUUAUCUUCUCGUCAGCAGGAAAUCCCAGAGCCGAAGCAAAUAGGAUGUGAAUGGUCAAAUCGUAAAUAGGAGGGUGGUAGUUUUGGGCCUCCACCUCCAGCCAUUGCUCCACUAAUCCCCUCUCUUCAACGUUCUUUCCAAGCAAAUCAGUUCCUUGGGAUUUGUACUUUUCCGCAUAAUACCUCAUGAUUGCUCUUGAUUCUAUCCAUCCGAUCAGAACCCAUUAAAAUCAAAUCCAAUUUAAAACUUAACAUUAUCUUUAAAUUCAUGAUUAAUGUUAAACAAAAUGUAAAUAUUAAGAAUUAUAUAUAUAGAAAAUACAUAUACGAAGGGAGAAGACAAUUUUUUUUAAAUUGCAAUUGUGUACGUAAAUUUUCCAAAAAUAGAAAGAUAUAUUUAUAACUUUUAUGAUAAACUAAUUUUUCACUCUAAAUCUUAUAUAUAUACAUAUAAAAUCAACCCUAAUAAUUAAAUUUCUACAUUUUAAGCUGUCAAACGGAAAGAAAAUCUUUCUCCAUUCAACUUUUGAUUAAUUAUUUGAGACAUAAUAAAAGUAUUAUUGAAAAAUAAAUUACUUUUUUAUCUGACCUUAAAAUUAACGCACAUAUCUCUUAACUUUUAAAAUUGAUUCCUAUAUUUUAAUCUUUAUCUAACUAUGAAAAUAUACAGUAUUUCAAUUCAUAUAUAGAGACAAUUAAAUUAUUAAAUUUUAAAAUAUCAAAUCUUAUUUGAUUCGGAGAAAUUUAGGCAAGAAAGUUAAAGUUUUUUAAAAGUAUCAAAAGAGACUUAUUAGAUUAGUAUUUUUUUUGUAAUUGAGAAUUGAAAAUUAGAAAAUAGAAUUUGAGAUUUCUCAGAUUUAUUCAGAUAUUCUUACCACCAAACUAAAUUCGUGAGUGCAGAUUAAUCUUUUUAUUUUUGAAAUUUUUAAUUCUACUUUAUAGUGAAAGAAGUAAAUUAAUUAAUAUCACACACUUAAGCCCUUAUUUGAUUUAAGGUAGUCACUUUUUAAAAAAUUUACUUCUCAAAAAUAACUUAAUUAAAUUAAGAAAAAUAAACUACUUUUCAUCUAUAAAAAAAUUUGACAUUUCAAAAAAUUUUAAAAAAAUAUCAACUAAACAGAUACAAUUUUAAUAUUUAAAAUUUUUAAAUUAUCUAUUUAAAUUAUCCUCAACUAAAUAAGACUUAAUUACAAUUUCUGAAUAAAAAUUUCUUUUGCUUCUCACUAUCGUCAUGCGUUUUCUUCUUCUUCUUUUUUUUUUUCUCCACACUCAUUGGUCAGUUCAAUAGCUUACAAGUUUUUUUUUCCUCUUAACAUCUAUCACUAUUAGUAUUUCUUUAUUAUUAUUUUGAAUUAUUAAAAUUAAACUUGACUUUUUCUAUUUUGCAAUUUCAUUUUAGUUAGAUUUUUCUUUUUUUUUUUAAUUUCAUUUCAAUUUAUAAGUAUUUUUAGUACAUAUAAAAUUUUUAAUUAUAAUAAUAUUUUUAUCAAAAUACAGCGUUAAAAAAUUUAUAGAUUUAUUAUCAUGUGAUUUACAUUAUAGAAUAUGUUAUUGAAUUAAUGAAUUAUUGCCAUUAAAAUAAGGAAUGUCUUUUUAAUUUUAUUUUUAUUAACAACAAUUUUAUUUUUUUUAAAUUGAAAAAUAACUUUACCGUAAAUAUAUUUUUAAAAAAAUAAACUUCUAAAAAAUAAGUAAUUUAAAUUAAAUAAGGCCUAAUUUGAACUAAAUGAAAACUUAAAAAUAUAUAUACAUAUUAAAUUUUAAUAUAAUUGAUAGAUUAAAAAAAAAUUCUAUAGUUUUUAACGAUUAAACUUCUAUCUUUCCGCACUCACAUGAUUUACGUCAUAAUAAAUUCUAAAUAAAUUUUAACUAAAUCUAAGAGAUCUAAAUUCAACACCCCAAUUCUCAAUUCUCAUUUUAAAAAACCCUUUCCUCAAUAAAAUUUAAUGGAGUUACAAAAUUUUUUAUCCUUAUUUUCUUCUCAAUCAAAUAUAAAAUAAACGAAAGCAAAAACGUUUUCCUCUCCAAAUUUCAUUCAUCCCAUGGAAUUCCAUCAAUCCAAGCACAAACAAUGUGAAGUUUGCAAUAUGCUAAUCCACAGCACAAGUUUUCUAAAUUAUCCCAAAUAAGUUAUUCUCUAAUUGACAGAGGAUUAUCGAUGAUUACUUACCGUAUAAGAUGUAAUCUCCAUCUUGAAUUACAGGAAGCACUCCGAAAGGCUUGAAUUGUCAAGAAAAAGAAGCGAAUUCAGCGCGAAUCAACUCCAAAAGAAUAAACACAGAUAUGUAAACGAAAACAAACAGAAAAAAGAAUCCCAAACCUGUAACUUGAGAUAUUCAGGGCUUCGAUGCUCCCCUUUGAUGAGAUCCACAGGAACAGCUUCAAAUUGGAUGCCCUUUUCAAUAAGGCAAGCAAGAACUCGCUUUGGACAAGCAUAGGCAGGACCGUACACCUUCACCACCAUUUUUUCCAAUGAGAGAUUAGGCAACAAGGUGUGGGUCUGUGAGGAGAAGGGCUGUGUUAGUAUUCUAGACGAGGGUUUUCUUGCGAUUUAUGAAGAAGAAAGUUGCUGGGUGCAUGGGUGGGAAUAAUUUUGUACGGGCACGUGCAUUUAUCUUAGCUGGACUUGGUAGGAGAUUUUUUUAAAAAAAUUUAAAAUAAAAUAUAUUCUCUAAUUAAUCAUUUUUAUUGUUUUAAUAGUUAAUAAUUAUUUAGAUAAUUAUUAAUUAAAUAUUAUAAAUAAAAAUAAUUUUUUAUAAUUUAUUUUCUUAAUAUAUAAAUAUUAGUGUUUUAUGAUUAUUCUCAGAUAGAAUUAUAAUAUGUGUUUAUUUUAUUUAAAUAAUAAAAAUAAAUUUCAAUAAUAUAAAAUUAUAAUAUAUAUAAUAUAAUAUCAAAAAUUAAUUUUUGGUCAGUCAAUAUGAGACAAUGAUUAGUGUUUGGUAAUUAAGCAAAGUGUUUAUACAUGAGCAAAGAAAAAUCAACUUUCUUUCUUCUUUUUAUUUUUUUAUUUUUUAUUUUAAAGAAAAUUACUAAAAAAUGAUAAUUGUCCUUAAAAAGAAAUAUCUUCACAUAAGAAAGUGACGUGAGAUGACAAUUUUGAAAAUAGGGAUUUUUUUUAAAUAUUUGGGAUAUACGUUGGUCCAAUAUAAUUUUAAUAUAUAAUUUAAAAUAUUGAGAGUUUAAAAUAUUAUAUAAAAUUUUUAACUUUUUAUUAGUUAAAUUAUAAAUUGAGUUGCGUAUAAAUGAACAACACAUACCCUAAUAUCAUAAUUACCUAUCAAUGAUUUCCAAAGCACACAAACUCAUUAUCAUUUCAUUUAAAUCAAAUACAUCAAUGGCCUCAUAUUUUCAUAAAAGCUGAAUUGGAAUCUUGACUUUUUCAUUAUUAGUAUUUAAAUAAUUAAUUUUUAUAAAAAUAUAAUUAUUAAAUUAUAUUAAUUCAAUAAAAAAAGUUAAAAUACUAAUUGAUUUUUUAUACAACAAAAAGAGUCAAAUGAUGUGUAUAGAAUUUAUAUUUUCUUGAAUUAAUAUCAUUGCCUAUUGAAUUUACUUCUCCAUGCGCAAUUGAACUGUUAAACUAAAAGCCUCCUCUAUCUUAUAGACAACUUAAAGACUUUAGAUUUAUGUGCAUGUGUUUUUUCUUUUAAUUCUUUCUGCAUAAUCAAUAAAAAAAUCAGAAAAAAAAGAAAUUAUUAUUUAAAUCAGUGAAAUUAUUUCCCUAUUCUUAAAAAAACAUAAAUUAAUUUUUAUGUUUUCAAUUGGUCAAUUAUUAGAAAAAUUAAUUUUUAUCUAUUUAGUUUGAUUUUGAAAUUAUAAAUAUUGGUACUUUCGUUUUGAAAUUGCAAAAAUUAAUUAGGGAUAAAGAUAUCUUAGUUUAAAUGAAUCCAUUUGCAGUUAAAAAAAAGAAUCCACUUACUUUUCAUAUGAAACCACCACCACAAUUUAGAGUCCUUCCCAUGAAUUUUUUCAUCUGCCCCAUUUUAUGGUUGCGGCCCAAAUUAACUCAUCUAAGGUACUUUUAGCCCUUUCGAUUAUAUUUUCUCCCACCAAAACGCUGUUUAGCUUAUGCUAUGAAAUGUCAGACUUAUAAAUUAAUUUGAGUUUAUAUAUAAUUUUAAAUUUUAAAUUGUUACAUAUUUAAUAUAAAUAUUAAUAAAUAAUAGUUACAAGUUAAGCUUAUAAAUAAUUUUAAAUUUUAAAUUAUUACAUAUUUAAUAUUAAUAAGUGAUAGUUACAAGUUAAGCUUAUAAGCAAUUUUAUAGUUACAAGUUAAAAGUUAAUGUGUUUAAUUAAAAAUAACUUAUAAGUACAUCUAUGACUUAAAAAAUAUAAAUUAUUUUUUUAUUAAAUGAUUACAUACUAUAAUUUUAAUUUUUUAAUAAAAAUACUAUAAUAAUUUAAUUAAUCAAAUUCAUUUAUAAACAUUAAAAUAAAAAAGCUGAAAAUCAGCCCUUUUUUUUUUUCAUAUACUUAUAAAUUUAUCACAUUACUACAAAGAAACAGAUGAUUUAAAUUUUAAAAACUUUCAUAAACAGAUUUGAGCAACACCCUGUAAAAAGCUUAGAUUUUCUACCAUUAUCACUGCUCAUAUGCAAGGACUAGAGGUGCUUCACAAUCUCUUUCCAGAAAUUGCCUUUAAAAAUGAUCCACUUACCAAUCAACACAAUCAUGGCAAACUAUAAAAUCCAUAAAAUUUUGGAUCAAACUCAAUGUUCAAAAACAAAUCCAUUGACAUUGAUGAAUCCUAUAUAUAUCACAAAAACAAAAAAGGCUCAAUAAUCCAAGUUGCAUUUAAAUAAAGAGGAAAAAGAAAUCGGCAUCACUGAGAUUUAAGCUUGGAGACUUGGAUAAACCACUGUUUUACUAGAAGCCAUAUGUAACUUGAAACUGAUCUCAAUAUCAAUAAUUUUAGAAUCAAAAUAUAAGUGCAAAUAUUUUAUAGUAUUGAAAUCCAAUACAUAUCAUCAUAGCAAAAGAAACACAACAUGGCAAAUUGGACACGGCCAGAAUACAGCACACACCUUCUCCCCCUUUCUCUUCUUUAUAUCUCUCUCCCUCCCUCCCCCAAAGGACAAAACACGAAACAUACAAAGAGCAGUCCUCAACAUUUAUUUAUCAUAGACAUCCAUGAUCAUGCAUAAACAUAUACUGUCUUAGAGUUGGAGGACCUUCUUCCAAGAUGGCCUGUUGCUAAUUUCAGUCCACCACCUACUCACGUGCUUUCUACUACUAAUCAUAUGCUCCCUAUUCAUGGGACCCACCAAGUACUGGGUAAAAGGUAAGUGGCUAAGAUCAGCCAGGCUAAAGAAAUCUCCAGCUAAGUACUUGCUCUUUGAGAGCCUCUCCUCAUACACAUCCAACACUUUUGCUAGCUUUUCUUCACUCUCUUUGAUGAUCUUCUCAUCAGCAGGAAAUCCCAGAGCCGAGGCAAAAAGGAUGUGAAGGGUCAAGUUGUAAAUAUGAGGGUGGUAGUUGUGGGCCUCCACCUCCAGCCAUUGCUCCACUAAUCCCCUCUCUUCAAUGUCCUUGCCAAGCAAAUCAGUUCCUUGGGACUUGUACUUUUCCGCAUAAUACCUUAUGAUUGCUCUCGAUUCUAUCCACCCGAUCAGGACCCAUUAAAAUCAAAUGCAAUUCAAAAGUUAACAUUUAUAAUUUAACAUUAUCUUUAAAUUCAUUAUUAAAAUUUUAAAAAAGUUAAAAUUAAAAAUUAUAUAUAUAUAUAUAUAUAUAUAUAAAUGAUUGGGAGAAAACAAUUAAAUUGCAAUUAUGUACGUGAAUUUGAAAUAUUAAUUGUCCGUUCGUUUUCUUGUAUUAAAUAAUAAUAUAAAUUUAUUAGUUAAUUUUUUAAUUUUAUAAAAAUCAAUUCGUAUUCGAUUAAAAAGAAAUCGAUCAAAUAGAAUUAAUUUAAAAUUUUAAUUCGAUUUUUUAUUUAUUUUCAUUUGAUUCAAUUUUAAUUUUAAAAAUAUUGAUUAUUUUGAUUCAGAUAAAAAAAAUUAUAAAAAAAUCACACUAAACCAGUUACUGAUAAUAUUAUAUUAUUUUUAAUAAUAUAGAGAUUAAAUUAUAAUUAAAAUUAAAAUAUUUUAAAUAAAUUUUAAAAUAAAAAAUAAUGUAAAAAAUAAAAAAUUUAUUAAAAAUUCAAAUCGAUCAAACCGAACUGAAUCGAACUGAUUCGAUCAAUUUAAUUUCUGAUAAAAAUCGAUUUUAUUCAAUUUUAAUAAAUAUUAAAAUUUUAAUUUUUAAUUUAUUCAAUUAAAAUAUCCAUCCUAAAAAAAAUAGUUAUUAAUUAUUCAUAUUAAAAAUAUUUUAAAUUUUUUUUAAUAUUUAAUAACUUAAUAGUUAAAAAUUAAUAAUUAAUUAAUAAAUUAUAAAUUUUUUUAUACUAUAAAAAUUAAAUAAUAAUUUUUUAUUUUAUUUAAUUCAACGAUUAAAAUUAAUUAUUAAAAUUAAUAUAAAAAUUAAUUAAUAAAAUUUUUAAAUUUUAAAAAUUUAAUCGUUAAAAUUAAUAUAAAGAUUAAUUAAUAAAAUUUUUAAAUUUUAAAAUUUAAAGUAAUAACUGCAUCUCAAUAAAUCUGUUAGAUUUUAGAUUCUACUUAACAAUCCCUAAUCCCUAUUUUAAAAAAAAAUUAAUUUUAAAAAUAUUUUAAUAUAUUUUUUAAAAGCUAGAGAUUAUUCAAUAAAUUUUUAUAUAUUAUAAAAAUUAAAUAAUAAUUUUUAUUAUAAUAAUAUUAUAUAUUAUAUAAAAAUAAUUUAUUAUAUAUAAUCAUUUAUAUUUCUAUUUUAUUAUUAAAUAUCAUAUUGAAAAAUAUUUUUACUAUUUAUUUUUAUACUAAAAAUUUUAGAAAACGGUUUUUAAGAGGUAAAAAAUAAAAAAUAAAAAAAGUUGUUUAUAGUUAAAAAAUAAAAAAAAAAAAACAAAAAAAGAGAAAUCCUACGAUAUUAUCAAUCAACCUAAAUCAUAGGAUUUUAAAGAUUAAAAAGUAAUUUUGUCUAAUUUUUAACAUUUAACACCCAUCUUUCCUCAAUAAAAAAUAAUGAAGUUAGAAAUUUUUUAUCCUUAUUUUCUUCUCAAUCAAAUAUAAAAUAAACAAAAAAUAAAAACGUUUUCCUCUCCAAAUUUCAUUCAUCCCCAUGGAAUUUCAACAAUCCAAGCACAAACAGUGUAAAGUUUGCAAUAUGCUAACCUACAGCAUAAUUUUUCCAAAUUAUCCCAAAUAACUUAUACUCUAAUUGACAGAGGAUUAUGAAUGAUUAAUUACCGUAUAAGGUGUAAUCUCCAUCUUCAAUUACAGGAAGCGCUCCGAAAGGCUUGAAUUGGCAAGAAAAAGAAGCGAAUUCAGCGCGAAUCAACUCGAAAAAGAAAAUACAUAUACAUAAACAAAAACAAACAGGAAAAAAAAAAAAAUACCGAACCUGUAAUUUGAGAUAUUCAGGGCUUCGAUGCUCCCCUUUGAUGAGAUCCACAGGAAUCGCUUCAAAUUCGAUGCCCUUUUCAAUAAGGCAAACGAGAACUCGCUUGGGAGAAGCAUAGGCAGUACCGUAUACCUUCACAACCAUUUUUUUCCGAUGAGAGAUAAGGCAACAAGGAGUGGGUCUGUGAGGAGUAGGACUGUGUUAGUAUUUGAAAGGAGGGUUUGCUUGUGAUUUAUGAAGAAGAAAG
rnacentral:lncRNA from 1 species